UACGGGGGAUGCGAGCGUUAUCCGAAAUUAAUGGGCGUAAAGCGCUUGUAGGUGGUUUAAUGAAAGUUUUUGGUUAAAUUUUAAGGCUUAACCUUAUUACGGCUGAGAAUACUUUUAAACUAGAGUAAAGCAGAGGUAAAGGGAAUUUCUAGUGUAGCGGUUAAAUGCGUAGAUAUUAGAAAGAACACCGGCGGCGAAGGCGCUUUACUGGGCUAUUACUGACACUGAGAAGCGAAAGCUAGGCUAGCAAAAAGG
rnacentral:rRNA from 1 species